rnacentral:rRNA from 1 species
AGCGAACGCUGGCGGCAGGCUUAACACAUGCAAGUCGAGCGGGCAUCCUUGUGGUGUCAGCGGCAGACGGGUGAGUAACGCGUGGGAACGUGCCCUUCGGUUCGGAAUAACUCAGGGAAACUUGAGCUAAUACCGGAUACGUGCGAGAGCAGAAAGGUUUAUCUGCCGAAGGAUCGGCCCGCGUCUGAUUAGCUAGUUGGUGAGGUUAUGGCUCACCAAGGCGACGAUCAGUAGCUGGUCUGAGAGGAUGAUCAGCCACACUGGGACUGAGACACGGCCCAGACUCCUACGGGAGGCAGCAGUGGGGAUUAUUGGACAAUGGGGGCAACCCUGAUCCAGCCAUGCCGCGUGAGUGAUGACGGCCUUAGGGUUGUAAAGCUCUUUUCUCCGGGACGAUAAUGACGGUACCGGAGGAAUAAGCCCCGGCUAACUUCGUG